rnacentral:lncRNA from 1 species
CCUAAUGCUUGGAGUUCGGGAACCCUUUCACCUGCUCUUACCAUGGAUCCUAUGGACUGAAGCGAUGUGAGGCAUGCUGUUUUCAUAGGCUUCUCUGCUUUCUGGGGAGGCCUUUGUCAGGGGCAAGGCUGCGCGAGAGCCCCACCAGGGCUCCCUCCCGGCCUGCGGCGUUCCCAGGAAGUACCUGCCUGCCUCACACCGGCCUCCUUCACAGGCCUGGGUAUGGAAAUGCCUCUCUUCCACCAGCCUCGAGUGGUCAAGCGCAAAGCCAUAGCAGAGAGAGCUGCGGUCCGAAAACUGUCUGUAGGCGCACGAUGCGUCGUGCUGGGAGCCAGGCCUAUCGGCGGGGUCCAGAAGCUGCGGAGAGGCCGUGUCGGUCAAGGGACUUCCGCCCCACUGGCUGUCAUGAUCAGAUUCCGAUCUUUCCGUGUGAAAUCCCGAAUACUGAAACCGAGUAGGGGAGAAAAGUCCAUUUCAAAAAUCAAUGAUCAGUAAGAGAAAACAAACAAACAAAAAACAGCCUUUAUUUACUCUACAAGCACCCUUAAGGUCUCAUUGUCCUGAGGUCGUCAAAAUAACCGUUGCUUUGGCAUCAUGGCUGUGCACACCUAACUUGGAAUUACUUAAUUCAUUAUGAUGCUUCCAAAGAAAAUCCUUUUGGUUGAUGAAAGCAGGAGAUAAAGAUAAUAAUGGCAACCAUUGACUGAAGUACUAGGCACUGAAUGAAGUGCCUCAUAUGAACUAUCCACUUAGCUCCUGCAGUAAACCCUUAAUGGCGCUAUUAGUAUCCCCAGUUUAUGGAUAGAGAAGCUAACGCUCAGAGAGAGAAAGUGAUUUGCCCGAAGCCACAGUGUUAGCAGGUGACACAACCAAGAUUCAGACCCAGGUUCUUCGUCUACCCUAACAGUAUUGCCAAAGAGAGAUUCCAAGUUUGAAACAUCCAACUAAGAAGCCUAAGGUUUAGACUGCAUCAUAUUCUAAUAACAACAGGAUUAUAAUAUCAAAUGAGACUCUCUGACCCUGCAAAUCUGGAACCAGCUGUAUAGGGACUUUGAACCUCCCUUUUCUCCAAUCUGCUGGUGUUUGUCAUCCUAAUAUAUACCUCAUAUUUUCUUUCAGAAAAUAAUUUUUAAAAUAUACCCAUCUUUUCAGAACAUAUGGUGGGCACACAAAAGUCAGUAAAAAGCAUCAAGGCGUAUACCACCUGCAUCUAAAAUCAUCCAGUUUUCCUAUAUGCCCUGCUGCAACUGCUUAUUAAAACAAGGUUGCUAAAUAAUUCAUUGUUGCUUUUGUUAGAUAAUAAUAACUUAUUUUCUAGGCAUAUUUUAACUUCAGCUAUAAAUCAGGAAAUUAGAAAAUCAAUGAGCUUAUGAGAGUAGCUUACCCAGAACCACGUAAGAAUAAUGUUCACUCAAAAUAGGACAACAUCAUCCACAAGGGAAUGACUCAGUGUCAAAACUACAGCUUUUUGAAGCUAUUUCACCAUUGCAAUGGAGAGAGGAAUGGCAACUCCAGAUCCCCACCCAUGUGGCAUGGAAAUUCACAUGGGAGAGUCAUGGUCUCAACUUGAUCAAAGUCAACAGAAUCAACUCCUGAAUGACAUCUUCAGAUCUCCCAUCUUGCUCCUUUCCUAGACCCCACCAAUCCCCGAGUCCAGUCAUCGGUGCAGCUUCCCUGGUUAGAACACACAGAUUUUGGAGUCAUACAACGAAUUUGAAUUUGAAUUCUGACUCUAUGUGGCCAUAUUAUUAGUUGUGAGGCCUUUGCUAAGACAUGUAAUCGGACUGAGCCUCAUUUCAUCAUCUGUAAAAUGGGUAUGAUGCCGAUUUACAAUUUAACCGUAGGAAUUAUAUGAGAUACCUAUAUAAAAG